GAUGAACGCUGGCGGCGUGCUUAACACAUGCAAGUCGAACGGUGAAGCAGGAGCUUGCUCUUGUGGAUCAGUGGCGAACGGGUGAGUAACACGUGAGCAACCUGCCCCUGACUCUGGGAUAAGCGCUGGAAACGGCGUCUAAUACUGGAUAUGUGAUGUGACCGCAUGGUCUGCAUCUGGAAAGAAUUUCGGUUGGGGAUGGGCUCGCGGCCUAUCAGCUUGUUGGUGAGGUAAUGGCUCACCAAGGCGUCGACGGGUAGCCGGCCUGAGAGGGUGACCGGCCACACUGGGACGGAGACACGGCCCAGACUCCUACGGGAGGCAGCAGUGGGGAAUAUUGCGCAAUGGGCGGAAGCCUGAUGCAGCAACGCCGCGUGAGGGAUGACGGCCUUCGGGUUGUAAACCUCUUUUAGCAGGGAAGAAGCGAAAGUGACGGUACCUGCAGAAAAAGCACCGGCUAACUACGUGCCAGCAGCAGCCGCCG
rnacentral:rRNA from 1 species